AGUCGUGGGGAUAACGUAGGGAAACUUACGCUAAUACCGCAUGCGCCUCGGGGAAAGCCGGGGACCUUCGGGCCUGGCGCGAUUGGAUGAGCCACGUCGAUUAGCUAGUUGGCGGGGUAAAGCCCACCAAGGCGACGAUCCGUAGCUGGUCUGAGAGGAUGAUCAGCCACACUGGAACUGAGACACGGUCCAGACUCCUACGGGAGGCAGCAGUAGGGAAUAUUGGACAAUGGGCGCAAGCCUGAUCCAGCCAUGCCGCGUGAGUGAAGAAGGCCCUCGGGUUGUAAAGCUCUUUUGUCCGGAAAGAAAAGCGCCGGGUUAAUACCCUGGUGUCCUGACGGUACCGGAAGAAUAAGCACCGGCUAACUUCGUG
rnacentral:rRNA from 1 species